UACGUAGGAGACGAGCGUUGUCCGGAGUUACUGGGCGUAAAGGGCGCGCAGGCGGCCUGUCAGGUGUCUGGUGAAAGCUCCCGGCUUAACUGGGAGAGGUCCAGGCAAACCGUCAGGCUUGAGCGUCGGAGAGGGGCAUGGAAUUCCGGGUGGAGCGGUGAAAUGCGUAGAGAUCCGGAGGAACACCAAUGGCGAAGGCAGUGCCCUGGCCGACGGCUGACGCUCAGGCGCGAAAGCGUGGGGAG
rnacentral:rRNA from 1 species